rnacentral:rRNA from 1 species
AUUGAACGCUGGCGGCAUGCCUUACACAUGCAAGUCGAACGGCAGCACGGGAGCUUGCUCCUGGUGGCGAGUGGCGAACGGGUGAGUAAUACAUCGGAACGUACCCAGGAGUGGGGGAUAACGUAGCGAAAGUUACGCUAAUACCGCAUAUUCUGUGAGCAGGAAAGCGGGGGAUCGCAAGACCUCGCGCUCUCGGAGCGGCCGAUGUCGGAUUAGCUAGUUGGUGAGGUAAAAGCUCACCAAGGCGACGAUCCGUAGCAGGUCUGAGAGGAUGAUCUGCUACACUGGGACUGAGACACGGCCCAGACUCCUACGGGAGGCAGCAGUGGGGAAUUUUGGACAAUGGGGGCAACCCUGAUCCAGCCAUGCCGCGUGAGUGAAGAAGGCCUUCGGGUUGUAAAGCUCUUUCGGCGGGGAAGAAAUGGCAACGGCUAAUAUCCGUUGUCGAUGACGGUACCCGCAUAAGAAGCACCGGCUAACUACGUGCCAGCAGCCGCGGUAACAC